rnacentral:rRNA from 1 species
GACGAACGCUGGCGGCGUGCCUAAUACAUGCAAGUAGAACGCUGAAGAGAGGAGCUUGCUCUUCUUGGAUGAGUUGCGAACGGGUGAGUAACGCGUAGGUAACCUGCCUUGUAGCGGGGGAUAACUAUUGGAAACGAUAGCUAAUACCGCAUAACAAUGGAUGACACAUGUCAUUUAUUUGAAAGGGGCAAUUGCUCCACUACAAGAUGGACCUGCGUUGUAUUAGCUAGUAGGUGAGGUAAUGGCUCACCUAGGCGACGAUACAUAGCCGACUUGAGAGGGUGAUCGGCCACACUGGGACUGGGACACGGCCCAGACUCCUACGGGAGGCAGCAGUAGGGAAUCUUCGGCAAUGGGGGCAACCCUGACCGAGCAACGCCGCGUGAGUGAAGAAGGUUUUCGGAUCGUAAAGCUCUGUUGUAAGUCAAGAACGGGUGUGAGAGUGGAAAGUUCACACUGUGACGGUAGCUUACCAGAAAGGGACGGCUAACUACGUG